UGCUGGAAUUCCUGUUGCAAU
ensembl:piRNA 21ur-2810 ncRNA